rnacentral:snRNA from 1 species
GGAUGUGAGGGCAAUCUGGCUGUGACAUCUGUCACCCCACUGAUUGCCAGGGUUGAUUCGGCUGAUCUGGCUGGCUGGGCGGGUGUCCCCUUCCUCCCUCACCACCCCAUGUGCGCCCCUCCCAAAGCUGCACGCUCAGUCAAAGAGGGCGACCUUCCCUGAAUGGAGCAGGACCAGACAAGGGUGUACGAGCAGCUGCGCUCCCCUGCUAGAACCUCCAAACCGGCUCUCAAAUAAAAUGAAUACAUUAAAAAAAAGAAAAUCAGCCGUGCCUGGUGGCCCAUGCCUUU